GGCUCUUUGGCGAUGUGGUCAGCACUUGUGACUCUUACCCAGAAAUCUGGGGUUCAAUCCCCCACCCGGGCCG